rnacentral:rRNA from 1 species
UCCUCCCUCUUUCUUCGUGCCUAAUACAUGCAAGUAGAACGCUGAAGAGAGGAGCUUGCUCUUCUUGGAUGAGUUGCGAACGGGUGAGUAACGCGUAGGUAACCUGCCUUGUAGCGGGGGAUAACUAUUGGAAACGAUAGCUAAUACCGCAUAACAAUGGAUGACACAUGUCAUUUAUUUGAAAGGGGCAAUUGCUCCACUACAAGAUGGACCUGCGUUGUAUUAGCUAGUAGGUGAGGUAACGGCUCACCUAGGCGACGAUACAUAGCCGACCUGAGAGGGUGAUCGGCCACACUGGGACUGAGACACGGCCCAGACUCCUACGGGAGGCAGCAGUAGGGAAUCUUCGGCAAUGGGGGCAACCCUGACCGAGCAACGCCGCGUGAGUGAAGAAGGGUUUCGGAUCGUAAAGCUCUGUUGUAAGUCAAGAACGAGUGUGAGAGUGGAAAGUUCACACUGUGACGGUAGCUUACCAGAAAGGGACGGCUAACUACGUG